rnacentral:rRNA from 1 species
AACGAACGCUGGCGGCAUGCCUAACACAUGCAAGUCGAACGAGACCUUCGGGUCUAGUGGCGCACGGGUGCGUAACGCGUGGGAACCUGCCCUUAGGUUCGGAAUAACUCCCCGAAAGGGGUGCUAAUACUGGAUAAUGUCUUCGGACCAAAGAUUUAUCGCCUUUGGAUGGGCCCGCGUUGGAUUCGCUAGUUGGUAGGGUAAAAGCCUACCAAGGCGACGAUCCAUAGCUGGUCUGAGAGGAUGAUCAGCCACACUGGGACUGAGACACGGCCCAGACUCCUACGGGAGGCAGCAGUGGGGAAUAUUGGACAAUGGGCGAAAGCCUGAUCCAGCAAUGCCGCGUGAGUGAUGAAGGCCUUAGGGUUGUAAAGCUCUUUUACCCGGGAUGAUAAUGACAGUACCGGGAGAAUAAGCUCCGGCUAACUACGUG